rnacentral:lncRNA from 1 species
GAGGUUUAGAGUCGAUUUAGGAUGUUAUAUGAAGACAGUGGUGGAUGAAUUCGUUAAAUUAGGAGUCAAGGAGCUUUAAGAAACCAUUGGCUAAGAGAAAUGUUAACACAGAGAGUUCAAAGAGUAAGAGAACCAACAUCAAGCUGAGCCAAAUCCACCAUUGUUUCAUGUUUUUAGUCAUCUCGAAUUAAGAAGGAACAUAAAAUAGUCUUUGUUUUUUCAGCAAAACAUAAAUUUCUCAUGGUCUCUAUAAUUCUCGGACAAUCAAAAUUGUAUUACACAACAUAAUCCUAGGAUCGAACUACUAAUAAGCAAAACAAGUGGUUUGAACCAAACUUAUCCGAUUUAGAAGGAUUUGUUUUGAAGUAAAACAACAGUUUCCCAUGGUCUCUGUAAUUUUCAGACAAGCAAAAUUUUAUUACACAAUUUAAUCAUAGGAUCGAAGCUGUAAAAGUUUGAACUAAGAGAGCUUAAUGGAGCAAACUUCAGAAGAAGUUACUCCUCCAAAAAUAGGUGUAUGCCAUUGGGCGUGGAGAGCACACGGUAUUCUUUAGUAAAAGGCGAAAGAUUAGUUCGCUUUGAGCUCACCACACGGCUCCAUGAGUUCAGAAGCUAAGCACCGAAUGAGUUAUUUAUAUGUGAAUCCUUCGACGACUAGUUUUGGUUUUGUUCGAUGUGGGACAAAUAUUUUAUAUAUGACAGUGCAAAACUCUUCACUUAGUAGGCCUUUUCUAUUUCAUAUUAAACUCCCUUUCUGAGUUAUAUCAUUUAUUUACUCUCUUUUUCUUAACAGAUUGGCUUAAUUAAGAGACUACCAAUAAGGAUGGUGUUACUCGUUUACUAUUUUUUUUUUCUUAGCAACUUCGAUGAAAGAUACGAGAGUAAAAUAAUAUUUUUCAUCGAAAGAAGGUAGCAUUUGAACCGAAUCAUGACGUAAAAAUAAAUUUUGAAUUUUAGUGUAGUCAGCCUAAAAAAUUCGAUGACUAGUGUUAUCUCAAAAUUAGAUAAAAUCAUCCAAUUUCCUUUGAUAAGAACCGGUUAAAAGCGUUUGACCUAUUUUAUCUUAUUAGAAUAUAUUAAAAUAUGUAAUUAUCCAAUUUUACUAUAUUUCUUAUAUUUAUUGAUGGAUGAUAUUUUCUUUUUAAUAUCUUUGGUUCUUAGGAAAUAUUCUAUACGAUGAAAUCCUUCCAAGGACUCGACACUCUAAGAUGGUGAAAAGAUAUUCCCUAGGUUCAACAUACGGUAAAGCUACAAAGAACAAGGAUGGUGGAGCGAAUGGUCGCACAAGAGCUCCGGAAGACCACAAGAGCUCUGGAAGUCUAUUGAUUUACCGAACUUAAAUCUCUUAUAUAUGACACACUAAGACAAAUUCAAUGGUGACAAUGAGAAUCACUCUCGACAAAAACCCUGGAUAUGACAUACCAAGACGGAUCAUGCAUUGAUCAACAGAUAGUACACACCAUUAACCAAACCAGUGGAUAUUACACACCAUUGACGAAAAAUGAUAAACUCUCAAAAAGUUCCAAAAAUAUCAAAAAAACUUAUUCUUAUUAUUCAUGAGAUAACCUCAUUAUAUAGAGAGAAAAUACAUCAAAAACAACCAUAAUAAUAACUCAACAUGCAGAGCAUCUAGGGAGAUUAAAUUCAAACUCUAAAGUGCAUGUAAGAGAGAGAAAUCGAAAGAAUUAAAUGAUGUUUUGUUAUGGACGAAAAUUGAUCUUCCUUCCUUCUUUUUGGGCUGAAUCCACUUAAUUGGGAUUUUCUCAUGGACCAAGAUUGUAGAACAACUUGGUUUGUAACUCAAUUCAUUCUGGCCCGUUUGAAAUCUUUCGUUGAAUGGACGCAUAUAUAAAUUAGGUAAAUUGGAGAACACCUGAUUUGUAAAAUCAAUAACUCAUUCGUCUCAACUCCGUUUUUACUUGAUUCUCCUUUGAGGAGUUCUGUAGUUGAGCUGAGCAUCUUCUCCAAGUCAUUUCGUGCAUAGAUUCCUCGUGGCUGAGAAUAUACGCUUUGAACAAUGGCGACAUGUUUUGAAGGUUCCUAUGAUCAUAUCACCAUAUCAACAAACAUCAAUACAAUAUUUUAAUUUAGUAACAAACUUAUAAAUGUGAAAUACAUUUUUCAUUGUAAAUAAUUUUAAAUUGUAAACCAUUACUUUAUUGAUUUUAAAUGAUAUUUUUUUUUUGUUCUUAAUAUUUUUGAUCUACAAGCAUAUUAAAAGUUUUAGAAUUAAAGUCCUAAAUUAAUUAACAUCUAGAAAAACUGCUGACCAAAAUAGUAAAUGUAUAUAGUCACUUCAUUUAUAAAAUAGGAAAAUUAUUAAAACAAGAUAUAGAACUAAUAUUUUUACUUCUUAGGAAGGAAGUGGACUAAUUGUUUACAAAAGUGUUAAAAGCAGUUGACAAGUCUUCACUAUAAUAUUCGGGUGAGAAUGUGAAGAGACCCAAUCUUUAUUUAUUCCUUAAUCCCUUCUUUCCUGUAAUCUCCGGACGAAUAAAGAAUCAAUGGAUCAUUACCAAAAAAACAAAGAAUCAAUGGAUCUCGCUUCUGGUUCGAGGACUCGGAGAAACUCAUCAAAGGUUCGAUUUUUUAUGUUUAACAGUUGGAUCAGACUGCAUGUGUUGGUACUUGUUCGUUAGAUUUGUAGUCUCACUAGGCGAUUUUUUCGCCCACUUAAUCCCAUUUUUGUAUCUUAGCUAUUAUGAAGUUGGAAAUGGAGUAAGGUAGAAAACUUUUUAUCAAAAAUGUUUAGAGUGAAAAAUAGAUUAGGGUUGAAGAUGUGUUUAGGGUUUCAUCAAUGGGUUUUGGUGUUUUAGGGUUUAUGUUCUGAAUUCGGGUUUAUAAGUGUUUUUAGGGUUUAUGUUCUGAAUUCGGGUUUAUGAGUGUUUUUAGGGUUAUGUCUUGAAUUUUGUUUUGUUUACUCAUGUUUACUAUGCUUCUACUGUUUCUCUUUACCUUCGGAUUGAUAUGUUUUUUUAUUUAUUUGUUCUUGAUAAGUCUUAUUAUUAGUCAUAUUGAUUGUGUUCAUACAGUUUCGUAUGAACUGAUAUGUUUUAAAUGAUGUGAAAUCAAUAUCUUACAUAUAGAUUGUGUGUUCGGUUUUUUUUUUUCGUGUCAAUGUUCUAAGUUGUAAUUUGUUUAUUGUAGUUGAUUGUAUAACGUUUGCUGCUUUAUCUUGUCGUCGUAGGCUGCAACUUCUCCUGAAGUAAUUGAUGUGGAAGAAUACGAAAUCCGCAAUGGUGGUUUUCUUAAAAAUAACAACAAUAAUGUCUUCGAUAAGAAGAACAAAGGAAAGGCUAUAAAAGAAGAAGAUGUCUCCUUUUAUGAUCAUUUUUACUCAUUUAGUCAUCUAGCUAAUGAAGUUGUGCCGAUGGAGCUUGAAGACUACGCAAUGUUUCAAGCCAUUCUAAAUUCUCAGGAUAUUCCAACUGAUGUAGAAGUGGUGAUGAUGCCUAGUGGAGCACAGAUGACUCCUGAUUUAGUGAUGGUUCCAUCUCCUCCUCCUUUGAGACCCUCUAAAUUUGAUGCUUCUGCUAGCUCUUCUCGCCCUCUAGUGGCGGUGCCUGAGGUUAUUUCUUCACCUCAGAUUAAGUUUCUGCGGGAUUUUAAAAGAUUCGACACUGUUGAUGAUUUCUCGGAUCAUCUAUAUGCUUCCUAUGCUUCAAACCAGGUGAAUCGAUCGAGGAUUAAAUUUUAUCAUCUCCGAGUUUGUUUCUUUAAUCUUUCUUUGAUAUUUAAACUUUAAGCUGCCUCUCUCUUUUAUCUUGUUCAGCAUACAAAGGGUUGGUCGAAAAAGAUUCAAUCAGAAUGGAAGAUUCUUGAGAAUGAUUUGCCAGGUUAGUAAAGUCCAAUGCUUGCAACAUAUCUAAUAACUAUAUGUUCUUAUUUAUUUUCAAUUUCUUUGCAAUCAGAAACUAUAUUUGUCCGAGCCUGUGAAUCAAGAAUGAACCUAUUAAGAGCUGUAAUUAUUGGACCCGAGGGAACUCCUUACCAUGACGGUCUUUUCUUUUUCGAUAUUCAGUUCUCAAAUUCCUAUCCUUCAGUGCCACCAGUAUGUCUCACUUUCUUGAUAUAUAAGUUAUGUUAUUAUUCGUUUUCUUGGUAACCUUUACGACUCUGUAAAUUUUCUGACAGAAAGUUCAAUACCAUUCCGGUGGGCAUCGAAUCAACCCGAAUCUGUACUGUAAUGGUUACGUAUGCUUGAGUCUUCUCGGUACCUGGGCUGGUACCGCGAGGGAGAGUUGGAUCCCAACAGAGUCGACAAUCUUACAGCUUCUUGUCUCAAUCCAAGCACUCAUCUUGAAUCAAAAACCAUACUUUAAUGAACCUGGCUUUGCACCGACCAUGGGGACUCAAUCAGGCGAGGCUCGUUCGGAAACUUACAGUGAGGAAGUAUUCAUACUGUCGUUAAAGACGAUGGUUAACAGUAUGAGAAAACCACCCAAGGUAAUAACUUGUCAAAACACUUUAGCUGAUUUUUCUUGCAAAAACAUUUUGGGGGUUAAAACUGUUUGGUUGUGAUGAAUGCGCAGCAUUUUGAAGAGUUUGUUCGUAGUCAUUACUUCGUGCGGGCUCACGACAUUGUGAAGGCGUGUAAUGCUUAUAAAGAUGGAGCACCUGUUGGAUGGAUGGGUAAAGAAACUAGCAAGAGCGGCUCCAAGAAGUUUAGAGUCGAUUUAGGAUGUUAUAUGAAGACAGUGGUGGAUGAAUUCGUUAAAUUAGGAGUCAAGGAGCUUUAAGAAACCAUUGGCUAAGAGAAAUGUUAAC